rnacentral:rRNA from 1 species
UAGGGAAUUUUCCACAAUGGACGAAAGUCUGAUGGAGCAACGCCGCGUGCAGGAUGAAUGCCUUCGGGUUGUAAACUGCUUUUAUAGGUGACGAUUAUGACGGUAGCCUAUGAAUAAGGAUCGGCUAACUCCGUGCCAGCAGCCGCGGUCAUACGGAGGAUCCAAGCGUUAUCCGGAAUUACUGGGCGUAAAGAGUUGCGUAGGUGGCAUUGUAAGUUGGUAGUGAAAGCGUGGGGCUCAACCCCAUACACAUUACCAAAACUGCAAAGCUAGAGGACGAGAGAGGCAUCUGGAAUUCCUAGUGUAGGAGUGAAAUCCGUAGAUAUUAGGAGGAACACCGAUGGCGUAGGCAGGGUGCUGGCUCGUUCCUGACACUAAGGCACGAAAGCGUGGGUAGCAAACGGGAUUAGAUACCCCUGUAGUCC